rnacentral:rRNA from 1 species
GACGAACGCUGGCGGCGUGCUUAACACAUGCAAGUCGAACGGAAAGGCCCGCCACCUUGGUGGUGGGUACUCGAGUGGCGAACGGGUGAGUAACACGUGGGUGAUCUGCCCCGCACUGUGGGAUAAGCCUGGGAAACUGGGUCUAAUACCACAUACGACCAUGGCGUAGGGGUCAUGGUGGAAAGCUUUAUUGCGGUGUGGGAUGAGCCCGCGGCCUAUCAGCUUGUUGGUGGGGUAAUGGCCUACCAAGGCGGCGACGGGUAGCCGGCCUGAGAGGGUGGACGGCCACAUUGGGACUGAGACACGGCCCAGACUCCUACGGGAGGCAGCAGUGGGGAAUAUUGCACAAUGGGCGCAAGCCUGAUGCAGCGACGCCGCGUGGGGGAUGGAAGGCCUUCGGGUUGUAAACUCCUUUCGCCCGGGACGAAGCCCACCUGGUGG